rnacentral:rRNA from 1 species
AUUGAACGCUGGCGGCAGGCCUAACACAUGCAAGUCGAACGGCUGCAGGGGGCUUGGCCCUGGAUUCAGCGGCGGACGGGGGAGUGAUGCCUAGGAAUAUGCGUGGUAGAGGGGGAGAAAGUCCGGAGAAGGGCGCUAAUACAGCGUACGUGCUGUGCGGGAAAGUGGGGGGUCUUCGGACCUCUCGCGAUCAGAUGAGCCUAGGUCGGAUUAGCUAGUUGGUGGGGUAAAGGCCUACCAAGGCGACGAUCCGUAGCUGGUCUGAGAGGACGACCAGCCACACUGGGACUGAGACACGGCCCAGACUCCUACGGGAGGCAGCAGUGGGGAAUUUUGGACAAUGGGCGAAAGCCUGAUCCAGCAAUGCCGCGUGUGUGAAGAAGGCCUUCGGGUUGUAAAGCACUUUUGUCCGGAAAGAAAUCCUUGGCCCUAAUACGGUCGGGGGAUGACGGUACCGGAAGAAUAAGCACCGGCUAACUACGUG